rnacentral:rRNA from 1 species
UACGUAGGGCGCAAGCGUUGUCCGGAAUUAUUGGGCGUAAAGAGCUCGUAGGCUGUUUGUCGCGUCUGCUGUGAAAACCCGAGGCUCAACCUCGGGCCUGCAGUGGGUACGGGCAGACUAGAGUGCGGUAGGGGAGACUGGAAUUCCUGGUGUAGCGGUGGAAUGCGCAGAUAUCAGGAGGAACACCGAUGGCGAAGGCAGGUCUCUGGGCCGCAACUGACGCUGAGGAGCGAAAGCAUGGGGAGCGAACAGG